rnacentral:rRNA from 1 species
GAUGAACGCUGGCGGCGUGCCUAAUACAUGCAAGUCGAGCGAACGGACGAGAAGCUUGCUUCUCUGAUGUUAGCGGCGGACGGGUGAGUAACACGUGGAUAACCUACCUAUAAGACUGGGAUAACUUCGGGAAACCGUAGCUAAUACCGGAUAAUAUUUUGAACCGCAUGGUUCAAAAGUGAAAGACGGUCUUGCUGUCACUUAUAGAUGGAUCCGCGCUGCAUUAGCUAGUUGGUAAGGUAACGGCUUACCAAGGCAACGAUGCAUAGCCGACCUGAGAGGGUGAUCAGCCACACUGGAACUGAGACACGGUCCAGACUCCUACGGGAGGCAGCAGUAGGGAAUCUUCCGCAAUGGGCGAAAGCCUGACGGAGCAACGCCUCGUGAGUGAUGAAGGUCUUCGGAUCGUAAAACUCUGUUAUUAGGGAAGAACAUAUGUGUAAGUAACUGUGCACAUCUUGACGGUACCUAAUCAGAAAGCCACGGCUAACUACGUG